GGGGCCCACAUCCAACCAUCCAAAGGGCCUCUGGUGACCUGUGUGGCCCACCCUGAGCACUUCACACUCAAGGCAGACCUGUUUUCAUGGGAAAUACGCAUUUUAAUUGGUGAGCUUUGUUUUGGGGCUGACAGUCCAGGGAUAAGAUUGAGCCGAGGGCCUGGCUUCUGGCUGCCUCUUAGACACUCCAUUUCUGAGCCAGCUGCUAAAGGCCCGGAUGGGAAUCGCCAGGGCCCAGGCCCAGGCCCACAUUUCUGCUUGGUGUGUGGUCCUGGUCACUGUGCUUUGCAGAUGGGCUGUGUGGUGGCUGUGGUCUUAGUCAGUGAGCUGAAGGCCUGGCACUGGUCAGGACAGGGCUGGGCUGUCUUUUUCUUUAGCAUGUGGGCUCUGCGUCCGGGAUCCUUGCUGUGGAAGGUUUGAGUCCAGAAAGAAGCCUUAGAGCUCAGAGCAAAGGCAGGGUGGUAGGGCUUGGGAUGUGUGAGCUCUAAAAGAUGCCCCUCUGUCUCCCUAGUUUACAGACGAGGAGAACGAGGCCCAGACAGGGGAAGCAAGUUGGCCCAGGUCACCCAGCAAGUCAGUGGUAGAGGGUAUCUCCUCCCAACCAGGCAACUCCCCCAGUGGCACUGUGGUGUGAAGCUCGGAUGUCCCAUGUCCCAGCCUCCUAGCCAUAACCCCCCCUGCAGACCUCAAGGACCACUGUAGUAACAAGACUAAUCGUGAUGAAGGGCUCUGCAAGCCCCCACCCUGCACAGACUGGCCCAGCCAUGGGGAUGGACAGGCCUGUGUGGCCUCAGCCCUGGCCCCACCCACUGCCAAGUACAAUGACCUGUCCUCUGAAAUACCAGUGUUAACCCACAUCCCUGUCCCAGCAUGUGACUGGUCACUCCUGGGAGACUCCGCCCACAGCAGCCCAGCUCCACUGUGCCCCUGGGUGAGAGGGCUGCAGGGGGUGUCCCCUCCAAGCCCACACCCCACCCCUUGCUAUGAUUUGUGCUUUUGAAGAGUGUUAAAUUAUGGAGGCCCACGGGGCCCUCCUUGUUCCCCCUGGACCUCUUAUUUAUACUAAAGUCCUUGUUUGCACAGCG